AGGGUGUAAACGCUGCAGACUUGGUGUUGGAAGUCCUUUGGGGGCAUUCAGUGCCGGAGAGAAGUUGUUAAGUCUGCUACUUGGGGAGUACGUCCGCAAGGAUGAACUUAAAGGAAUUGGCGGGGGAGCACCGCAACGGGAGGAGCGUGCGGUUUAAUUGGAUUCAACACCGUAAACUCACCAGGGAAGACUGUUACAUGAGAGCCGAGAUGAAGACUCUGCUAGAUUUUCAGAGAGGAGGUGCAUGGCGUCAGUGACU
rnacentral:rRNA from 1 species